rnacentral:rRNA from 1 species
CGCGGUAAUUUGACCGUGCGAAGGUAGCAUAGUCAGUAGUCUUUUAAUUGAAGGCUUGAAUGAAAGGUUGGACGAGGGAUAAGCUGUCUCCUAUAACGUGGUGUGAAUUUAACUUUUAAGUGAAAAGGCUUGAAUUAUUUAGUGGGACGAUAAGACCCUAUAAAACUUGAUAUAAGUUUAGCUUGAUUUGUGAUUUAGGUGAAAAGCGAUUUUGUUCGGUUUAUAUUUCGUUGGGGAGAUGUAGAUAUAAUGUGUAACUGUCUAUUUAAUUUAAUAAAUAUGAUUAGUGUUUGAUCCUUCUUUGUGGAUUAGAAGAAUAAGUUACUUUAGGGAUAACAGCGUGAUUUUCUUUGAGAGUUCUUAUCGACAAGAGUAGUUGCGACCUCGAUGUUGAAUUAAAAUUUCAGCUAGGUGUAGUCGUUUAGCUGGUGGGUCUGUUCG